rnacentral:rRNA from 1 species
CAGUGGAUGUCUAGGCUCGCACAUCGAUGAAGAACGCUGCGAACUGCGAUACGUAAUGCGAAUUGCAGGAUUCAGUGAGUCAUCGAAAUUUUGAACGCAUAUUGCACUUCCGGGUUAGUCCUGGAAGUAUGCCUGUAUCAGUGUCCGUACAUUAAACUUGACUUUCUUCCUUCCGUGUAGUCGGUGGAGGAGAUGUCAGAUGUGAAGUGUCUUGCGAUUGGUCUUCGGACCGGCUGCGAGUCCUUUUAAAUGUACUAAACUGAACUUCUCUUUGCUCGAAAAGUGGUGGCGUUGCUGGUUGUGAAGGCUGCUAUUGUGGCAAAUUGGCGACUGGUUUGUCUGCUGCGGCAUUAAUGGAAGAGUGUUCGAUUCGUGGUAUGGUUGGCUUCGGCUGAACAAUGCACUUAUUGGACGUUUUUCCUGCUGUGGCGUGAUGGACUGGUGAACCAUAGCUCGGUGGCUUGGCUUUUGAAUUGGCUUUGCUGUUGCGAAGUAGGGUGGCAGCUUCGGUUGUCGAGGGUCGAUCCAUUUGGGAACUUAAUGUGUACUUCGGUAUGCAUCUCAAUUGGACCUGAUAUCAGGCAAGAUUACCCGCUGAACUUAAGCAUAUCAAUA